rnacentral:rRNA from 1 species
UACGGGGGGGGCAAGCGUUGUUCGGAAUUACUGGGCGUAAAGGGCUCGUAGGUGGCCAAUUAAGUCAGACGUGAAAUCCCUCGGCUUAACCGGGGAACUGCGUCUGAUACUGGAUGGCUUGAGUUCGGGAGAGGGAUGCGGAAUUCCAGGUGUAGCGGUGAAAUGCGUAGAUAUCUGGAGGAACACCGGUGGCGAAGGCGGCAGCCUGGACCGACACUGACGCUGAGGAGCGAAAGCCAGGGGAGCAAACGGG